UACGGGGGGAGCAAGCGUUGUUCGGAUUUACUGGGCGUAAAGGGCGCGUAGGCGGCCAGCACAAGUCAGUUGUGAAAUCUCCGGGCUUAACUCGGAAAGGUCAACUGAUACUGUGCGGCUAGAGUGCAGAAGGGGCAACUGGGAUUCUCGGUGUAGCGGUGAAAUGCGUAGAUAUCGAGAGGAACACCUGCGGCAAAGGCGGGUUGCUGGGCUGACACUGACGCUGAUGCGCGAAAGCCAGGGGAGCGAACGGG
rnacentral:rRNA from 1 species